rnacentral:rRNA from 1 species
GAGUUUGAUCUUGGCUCAGAUUGAACGCUGGCGGCAUGCCUUACACAUGCAAGUCGAACGGCAGCAUGAUCUAGCUUGCUAGAUUGAUGGCGAGUGGCGAACGGGUGAGUAAUACAUCGGAACGUGCCCUGUAGUGGGGGAUAACUAGUCGAAAGAUUAGCUAAUACCGCAUACGACCUGAGGGUGAAAGUGGGGGACCGCAAGGCCUCAUGCUAUAGGAGCGGCCGAUGUCUGAUUAGCUAGUUGGUGGGGUAAAGGCCCACCAAGGCGACGAUCAGUAGCUGGUCUGAGAGGACGAUCAGCCACACUGGGACUGAGACACGGCCCAGACUCCUACGGGAGGCAGCAGUGGGGAAUUUUGGACAAUGGGCGAAAGCCUGAUCCAGCAAUGCCGCGUGUGUGAAGAAGGCCUCGGUUGUAA